rnacentral:rRNA from 1 species
AUUGAACGCUGGCGGCAGGCCUAACACAUGCAAGUCGAACGAGUGGCGGACGGGUGAGUAAUGUCUGGGAAACUGCCUGAUGGAGGGGGAUAACUACUGGAAACGGUAGCUAAUACCGCAUACCAUCAGAUGUGCCCAGAUGGGAUUAGCUUGUUGGUGGGGUAACGGCUCACCAAGGCGACGAUCCCUAGCUGGUCUGAGAGGAUGACCAGCCACACUGGAGCUGAGACACGGUCCAGACCCCAAGGGAGGGAAGAAGGGGGAAAUAUUGCACAAGGGGCGCAAGCCGGUUGCAGCCAGGCCGCGUGUAUGAAGAAGGCCUUCGGGUUGUAAAGUACUUUCAGCGGGGAGGCGUUACCCGCAGAAGAAGCACCGGCUAACUCCGUGCCAGCAGCCGCGGUAAUUC